UACGUAGGGGGCUAGCGUUGUCCGGAUUUAUUGGGCGUAAAGAGCGUGUAGGCGGCCAGGUAGGUCUGCUGUGAAAACUCGAGGCUUAACCUCGAGAUGUCGGCGGAAACCAUCUGGCUAGAGUCCGGAAGAGGAGAGUGGAAUUCCUGGUGUAGCGGUGAAAUGCGCAGAUAUCAGGAAGAACACCCGUGGCGAAGGCGGCUUUCUGGGACGGUACUGACGCUGAGACGCGAAAGCGUGGGGAGCGAACAGG
rnacentral:rRNA from 1 species